UGCUCAGGGGCCGGAUGGGAACGGCCAAUGGGAACGUAAGGCGGGAUUAGCGUCUGCGCUAGGAGCCACCCCCCAAAUCAAAGCCGACCAAUGGGAGAAAAGAGCCGGUUGGUGUCGCUCACUGGAACCGCCCCCAGGACCUAGCUCGCCAAUGUUUAGGUGGGGCGGAGUUUGUAUCUGGGCCCGGACUAUAACCAUCCAAUAGGAGUGUGGUGCGAACCCAGAGGCGGGAUCAGAAAGCUGACUCAAGCUGAGCUGGCCAAUGAAGGUGGAAGGCGGGGAUUACAUUUUCUCCUGGAGCCGCCUCUUAGUCUAGCUUCAACCAAUGAGGCUAGCAGCAGGACGAAGGUGGAGCAGCCGACAGCUUCCCAACUGCUACCAGCACCGGGUGACACUCUAACAAAACCAAGAAGGGGCGCUCCGAGGCCCGAGGGGGCCACACGGGAAAAUCCGAUGGCGGUCUGUCUCCUGCGUUUUCGCUCCUGCCGGCGCUCGGGCACACGGGGGCCUGACCCGAUGAGACGGCGUCCGUGCCCUCCUGGAGCUCGGCUGCUCGGGCUCCCAAAGACCCUCAGACAAGUGACUCACCCUGGAGGCCACGAGCUGCAGCUGCGGCACGACGGCCGUGUGGACGAGGUUCCCGUUCACCACCAGGCGGAUCUCCAUGGAGUCGGUGGUGAAGGCCAGGAGCCAGAUCUCAUCCAUCACCGAAGCCUCACUAGAUCCUCCAGUAUCUGGAUGGGGUCCUCUGUUCUCAAGACUCUAGGAUGUUUGCCUACCGUCACAUCCUUGGCCUUGGAGGAAAACAGCACUGACUCGAACAUUCUUGGCUCUGAUCCGACUCUCACCAGGCAGAUGCCCAGCUGCGGAUCCUGCACCCCAGAAGGGAAGCACCACCUCUCACGCCCCGAUGUUUCAGGGGCAGGCAAAGUACCCGAGUUUCUGGGACUCUUGGUUUUCGAGCUCUAAAAUACGUAAGCACGGCGCGGAAUGCCUUGGGCUUCUCCAAGUCAGUCAGUGUUUUAAGGCUGGAGAUCUCGCGCUCAAAUUGUAGGAACAGGAAAUCGAAGCCCAGAAAUGAAAUGAUACUGAAAGAUACCCAAGUCCUGAAAAUCGGGAUUUCGUUGAUCUCAAAUGCUCCCAUGCUCCCAGCUGGGAGGCACAGUGGAUGGCAACAGUCCCAAAGGGGGAACAGAAAGGAAAACAAUUGAAAAAGGAAAAGAACACUCUGAGCACUCCUCAUACUCACAUAACUCAUGGCAGUCCAGCAGCAAGCCAAUAAGUUGGCUG